UACGUAGGGGGCAAGCGUUGUCCGGAUUCAUUGGGCGUAAAGGGUGCGUAGGCGGCGCGGUAAGUCGGGUGUGAAAUCUUGGAGCUUAACUCCGAAACUGCAUUCGAUACUGCCGUGCUUGAGGACUGGAGAGGAGACUGGAAUUUACGGUGUAGCGGUGAAAUGCGUAGAUAUCGUAAGGAAGACCAGUGGCGAAGGCGGGUCUCUGGGCUGAAACUGACGCUCAUGCACGAAAGCGUGGGGAGCAAACAGG
rnacentral:rRNA from 1 species